GACAGAGGAUGCAAGCGUUAUCCGGAAUGAUUGGGCGUAAAGCGUCUGUAGGUGGCUUUUUAAGUCCGCCGUCAAAUCCCAGGGCUCAACCCUGGACAGGCGGUGGAAACUACCAAGCUGGAGUACGGUAGGGGCAGAGGGAAUUUCCGGUGGAGCGGUGAAAUGCGUAGAGAUCGGGAAAGAACACCAACGGGCAGAAAGCACUCUGCUGGGCCGACACUGACACUGAGAGACGAAAGCUAGGGGAGCGAAUGGG
rnacentral:rRNA from 1 species